AUACGUAGGGUGCGAGCGUUGUCCGGAAUUACUGGGCGUAAAGAGCUCGUAGGUGGUUUGUCGCGUCGUCUGUGAAAUUCCGGGGCUUAACUCCGGGCGUGCAGGCGAUACGGGCAUAACUUGAGUACUGUAGGGGAGACUGGAAUUCCUGGUGUAGCGGUGAAAUGCGCAGAUAUCAGGAGGAACACCGGUGGCGAAGGCGGGUCUCUGGGCAGUAACUGACGCUGAGGAGCGAAAGCAUGGGUAGCGGACAGGAUUAGAUACCCUGGUAGUCCAUGCCGUAAACGGUGGGCGCUAGGUGUAGGGGUCUUCCACGACUUCUGUGCCGUAGCUAACGCAUUAAGCGCCCCGCCUGGGGAGUACGGCCGCAAGGCUAAAACUCAAAGGAAUUGACGGGG
rnacentral:rRNA from 1 species